rnacentral:rRNA from 1 species
GAUGGACGCUAGCUACAGGCUUAACAAAUGCAAGUCGAGGGGUAACGAGAGGGAAGCUUGCUUUCCUUGUCGACGACCGGCGCACGGGUGAGUAACGCGUAUCCAACCUGCCCCCAACUAGGGAAUAACCUUGCGAAAGUAAGACUAAUACCCUAUAAUUUCCUCAGAUGUCAUCUGACGAGGAAUAAAGAUUUAUCGGUUGUGGAUGGGGAUGCGUCUGAUUAGCUUGUUGGCGUGGUAACGGCCCACCAAGUCAACGAUCAGUAGGUGUUCUGAGAGAGAGGUCCCCCACAUUGGAACUGAGACACGGUCCAAACUCCUACGGGAGGCAGAAGUGAGGAAUAUUGGUCAAUGGGCGUAAACCUGAACCAGACAAGUAGCGUGCAGGAUGACGGCCCUAUGGGUUGUAAACUGCUUUUAUACAGGAAUAAAGUUAGCCACGUGUGGUUAUUUGUAGGUACUGUAUGAAUAAGGACCGGCUAAUUCCGUGCCAGCCGCCGCGGUAA